rnacentral:lncRNA from 10 species
UCCGCCCCAAAUGCCAUCUCCCCUCUCUGCCUGGAGAACUUUUCUUCAUUCUUCAAGACCCAGCUAAAAUAGCCCUUUUCUGUCUUCCUCUGGGAAAUCCUGUCCUUCUGCAGCACUUGGUAUAUUCCCCAUCUCUUUUCCAUCCUGCUGUCAGUUCCUGCACACCUGUCUGCUCAGGGCCCUGGGAGGUCCUAACAGGUUGAGGCUAGAUUCUGACUGCAGAACAGUUGGUGCUCACUAACUCUUUGCCAGAUGGAGCUGAGAUGACGCUGACAACUUUGGGCUGGUGGCCCAGGUGCAGUUUGUCCUUGGCUCUCUUGCUCCCUGCCUAAUCUAUAUACCUUACGACAAUGCUGCACCAAAAAUGUUUAUGCAAAUUAGUCAAUGUGCCAGAUUAACUUGGUCAAAGUUUGCUCUUCAUGUAGCAGAGUCACCAGCUCACAAGCAAACCAGGGCCAGGCACGGUGGCAGCUGGGCACUUAUUUGAAGGAGGCAGCAAGAGACAGAGAUCCUGCAUUC